GGGGAAUUUUGGACAAUGGGGGAAACCCUGAUCCAGCCAUGCCGCGUGCGGGAUGAAGGCCUUCGGGUUGUAAACCGCUUUUGUCAGAGACGAAAAGGGACGUACGAAUAAUACGUUCCGCUGACGGUAUCUGAAGAAUAAGCACCGGCUAACUACGUGCCAGCAGCCGCGGUAAUACGUAGGGUGCAAGCGUUAAUCGGAAUUACUGGGCGUAAAGGGUGCGCAGGCGGCUGUGCAAGACAGAUGUGAAAUCCCCGGGCUUAACCUGGGAACUGCAUUUGUGACUGCACGGCUAGAGUUUGUCAGAGGAGGGUGGAAUUCCGCGUGUAGCAGUGAAAUGCGUAGAUAUGCGGAAGAACACCAAUGGCGAAGGCAGCCCUCUGGGACAUGACUGACGCUCAUGCACGAAAGCGUGGGGAGCAAACA
rnacentral:rRNA from 1 species